UUUAAUUGAAGAGUUUGAUCAUGGCUCAGAUUGAACGCUGGCGGCAGGCCUAACACAUGCAAGUCGAACGGUAGCAGGAUGUGCUUGCACAUCGCUGACGAGUGGCGGACGGGUGAGUAAUGCUUGGGAACUUGCCUUUGCGAGGGGGAUAACAGUUGGAAACGACUGCUAAUACCGCAUAAUGUUUUCGAACCAAACGGGGCUUAGGCUCCGGCGCAAAGAGAGGCCCAAGUGAGAUUAGCUAGUUGGUGAGGUAAAGGCUCACCAAGGCGACGAUCUCUAGCUGUUCUGAGAGGAAGAUCAGCCACACUGGGACUGAGACACGGCCCAGACUCCUACGGGAGGCAGCAGUGGGGAAUAUUGCACAAUGGGGGAAACCCUGAUGCAGCCAUGCCGCGUGUGUGAAGAAGGCCUUCGGGUUGUAAAGCACUUUCAGUUGUGAGGAAAGGUUGGUAGUUAAUACCUGCCAGCUGUGACGUUAACAACAGAAGAAGCACCGGCUAACUCCGUGCCAGCAGCCGCGGUAAUACGGAGGGUGCGAGCGUUAAUCGGAAUUACUGGGCGUAAAGCGCACGCAGGCGGUUUGUUAAGCUAGAUGUGAAAGCCCCGGGCUCAACCUGGGAUGGUCAUUUAGAACUGGCAGACUAGAGUCUUGGAGAGGGGAGUGGAAUUCCAGGUGUAGCGGUGAAAUGCGUAGAUAUCUGGAGGAACAUCAGUGGCGAAGGCGACUCCCUGGCCAAAGACUGACGCUCAUGUGCGAAAGUGUGGGUAGCGAACAGGAUUAGAUACCCUGGUAGUCCACACCGUAAACGCUGUCUACUAGCUGUGCGUGAAUUUAAUU
rnacentral:rRNA from 1 species